rnacentral:rRNA from 1 species
CCCUUAGAUGUUCUGGGCCGCACGCGCGCUACACUGGUACGUUCAACAAGUUUACAACCUUGACCGAAAGGUCUGGGUAAUCUUUUGAAUGCGUACCGUGCUAGGGAUAGAUUAUUGCAAUUAUUAAUCUUGAACGAGGAAUUCCUAGUAAACGCAGAUCAUCAAUCUGCAUUGAUUACGUCCCUGCCCUUUGUACACACCGCCCGUCGCACCUACCGAUUGGAUGGUCCGGUGAAGCCUCGGGAUUGUGGUUCUUGCCGCUUUAUUGUGGCGUGACCGCGAGAACUUGUCUAAACCUUAUCAUCUAGAGGAAGGUGAAGUCGUAACA